rnacentral:rRNA from 1 species
AUUGAACGCUGGCGGCAGGCCUAACACAUGCAAGUCGAACGGUAACAGGGAUCCGCUUGCUGAUUCGCUGACGAGUGGCGGACGGGUGAGUAAUGUCUGGGAAACUGCCUGAUGGAGGGGGAUAACUACUGGAAACGGUAGCUAAUACCGCAUAACGUCGCAAGACCAAAGAGGGGGACCUUCGGGCCUCUUGCCAUCGGAUGUGCCCAGAUGGGAUUAGCUAGUAGGUGGGGUAACGGCUCACCUAGGCGACGAUCCCUAGCUGGUCUGAGAGGAUGACCAGCCACACUGGAACCGAGACACGGUCCAGACUCCUACGGGAGGCAGCAGUGGGGAAUAUUGCACAAUGGGCGCAAGCCUGAUGCAGCCAUGCCGCGUGUAUGAAGAAGGCCUUCGGGUUGUAAAGUACUUUCAGCGGGGAGGAAGGGAGUAAAGUUAAUACCUUUGCUCAUUGACGUUACCCGCAGAAGAAGCACCGGCUAACUCCGUG